rnacentral:rRNA from 1 species
GCAAAUCUCAAAAAAACAAUCUCAGUUCAGACUGCAGGCUGCAACUCGCCUGCACGAAGUCGGAAUUGCUAGUAAUCGUAGGUCAGCAUACUACGGUGAAUACGUUCCCGGGCCUUGUACACACCGCCCGUCAAACCAUGAGAGUUGGCAACACCCGAAGUCGGUAGUCUAACCGCAAGGAGGACGCCGCCGAAGGUGGGGUUGAUGAUUAGGGUUAAGUCGUAACAAGGUAAC